AUGGAGGAUUUUGUCAAACAGUGCGCCGGCUGUCAACAUGCCAAGCACGAGCACACACAUCCGGCAGGCAAGCUUCAACCUCUACCAAUUCCCACCGAACCAUGGCAUGAUUUGACAAUGGAUUUCGUCGAGGGGUUGCCCAAGUCCGAGGGGUCUGACGCCAUCAUGGUCGUGGUCGGUCGCCUAACCAAGUACGCGCACUUCAUCCCGCUCCAUCAUCCCUUCACCGCAGCUCAAGUCGCCCGAGCAUUCUGGGAACAUGUCAUCAAGCUACACGGGGUUCCUCACUCCAUCGUCUCGGAUCGCGACAAGAUUUUCACCAGCGCCAUAUGGCGUGAAUUGCUCGCCGCCGCCGGAACAAAACUGCUCUACUCCACGGCGUACCACCCGGAGACGGACGGCCAGACGGAGCGCGUCAACCAAUGCCUUGAGAUGUACCUGCGGUGCGCGGUACACGACACGCCGCGGCAAUGGCGCAAGUGGCUUCCCGCGGCAGAGUUCUGGUACAACUCCGCUCACCACUCUUCGCUCAAGUGUUCCCCGUUCAAGGCGUUGUACGGCAAGGAACCGAACCUGGGCGGAUGCUGCGCGCCCAGCUCGCGCGCGCCCAAGCUCGCUUCAAGAAACAAGCCGACCGCCACCGCGUGGAACGCGCCUUCGACGUCGGCGAACAAGUUCUCCUCAAACUGCAGCCGUACGCGCAAUCAACCGUCGCCAACCGCCCGUGCCGCAAGCUCUCCUACAAGUUCUUCGGCACUUUCGAGGUGA
rnacentral:rRNA from 1 species